CGUGGGUAACCUGCCCAAGAGAUCGGGAUAACACCUGGAAACAGAUGCUAAUACCGGAUAACAACAGAUGAUGCCUAUCAACUGUUUAAAAGAUGGUUCGGCUAUCACUCUUGGAUGGACCUGCGGUGCAUUAGCUAGUUGGUAGGGUAACGGCCUACCAAGGCGAUGAUGCAUAGCCGAGUUGAGAGACUGAUCGGCCACAUUGGGACUGAGACACGGCCCAAACUCCUACGGGAGGCAGCAGGC
rnacentral:rRNA from 1 species